rnacentral:rRNA from 1 species
UUGACCUCGGAUCAGGUAGGGAUACCCGCUGAACUUAAGCAUAUCAAUAAGCGGAGGAAAAGAAACCAACCGGGAUUGCCUCAGUAACGGCGAGUGAAGCGGCAAGAGCUCAAAUUUGAAAGCUGGCUCCUUCGGAGUCCGCAUUGUAAUUUGCAGAGGAUGCUUUGGGUGCGGCCCCCGUCUAAGUGCCCUGGAACGGGCCGUCAGAGAGGGUGAGAAUCCCGUCUUGGGCGGGGUGUCCGUGCCCGUGUAAAGCUCCUUCGACGAGUCGAGUUGUUUGGGAAUGCAGCUCUAAAUGGGUGGUAAAUUUCAUCUAAAGCUAAAUACUGGCCGGAGACCGAUAGCGCACAAGUAGAGUGAUCGAAAGAUGAAAAGCACUUUGAAAAGAGAGUUAAACAGCACGUGAAAUUGUUGAAAGGGAAGCGCUUGCGACCAGACUCGCCCGCGGGGUUCAGCCGGCAUUCGUGCCGGUGUACUUCCCCGUGGGCGGGCCAGCGUCGGUUUGGGCGGCCGGUCAAAGGCCCCUGGAAUGUAGUGCCCUCCGGGGCACCUUAUAGCCAGGGGUGCAAUGCGGCCAGCCUGGACCGAGGAACGCGCUUCGGCACGGACGCUGGCAUAAUGG